rnacentral:rRNA from 1 species
UACGUAGGGCGCAAGCGUUGUCCGGAAUUAUUGGGCGUAAAGAGCUCGUAGGCGGUCUGUCGCGUCGGAUGUGAAAGCCCGGGGCUUAACCCCGGGUCUGCAUUCGAUACGGGCAGACUAGAGUGUGGUAGGGGAGAUCGGAAUUCCUGGUGUAGCGGUGAAAUGCGCAGAUAUCAGGAGGAACACCGGUGGCGAAGGCGGUUCUCUGGGCCUGUACUGACGCUGAGGAACGAAAGCGUGGGGAGCGAACAGG